UUCUAACAGGACGAAUAUGCUUAACUCGUAUGAAACUGGACUGCAGUCUGCUCUAAAGGUGUGCCUCCUUCUUUGGCGAAUUUAUAAGGAAGUCCCCACAGCCCUCAGGACAGAGACUGAACAAGGGAUGUGACUGCUGUGAAUACUCCCAGCCAAAGGCCAUCAGGACACCCGGAGUUGAACAAGGGGUUAGAAAUUGCCCUGAAGGAAGAGGUGGACAACUCUGCCAGACACUGGGAAGAUCAGUGCGGAACACACGGCCAGGAUCCAGCCAGUCAGAACUGACUCCCCCAUCAAUCACAUCUUUGCAGAAAAAUCUACACCAGAGCUUGCUAGA
rnacentral:lncRNA from 1 species